rfam:Danio rerio chromosome 4, GRCz11 reference primary assembly.
GCUUCGUUGGCGCAGUAGGCAGCGCAUCAGUCUCAUAAUCGGAAGGUAGUGAGUUCGAGCCUCACACGGGGCA